GAAUAGAGGAUGAGAGAGAGGAGUAACAAAAGUGAAAAUAAAAACUAAAAACUGAAAUCUAUUUGAAAUUAUUUUCACUUUUAUUACUCCUCUCUCCCAUCUUCUCUCUCA
rnacentral:miRNA from 1 species